AGAGUUUGAUCCUGGCUCAGAUUGAACGCUGGCGGUAUGCUUAACACAUGCAAGUCGAACGGUAACAGGCCGCUGGGAUCCCUUCGGGGUGACCUUGGCGCUGACGAGUGGCGGACGGGUGAGUAAUACUUAGGAAUCUGCCCAGUAGCGGGGGACAACUCGAGGAAACUCGAGCUAAUACCGCAUACGCCCUACGGGGGAAAGCGGGGGAUCUUCGGACCUCGCACUAUUGGAUGAGCCUAAGUCGGAUUAGCUUGUUGGUGAGGUAAUGGCCCACCAAGGCAACGAUCCGUAGCUGGUCUGAGAGGACGACCAGCCACACUGGGACUGAGACACGGCCCAGACUCCUACGGGAGGCAGCAGUGGGGAAUAUUGGACAAUGGGCGCAAGCCUGAUCCAGCAAUACCGCGUGUGUGAAGAAGGCCUGCGGGUUGUAAAGCACUUUCAGUGGGGAAGAAAUGUCUGAGGUUAAUACCCUCGGAUCUUGACGUAACCUACAGAAGAAGCACCGGCUAACUCCGUGCCAGCAGCCGCGGUAAUACGGGGGGUGCAAGCGUUAAUCGGAAUUACUGGGCGUAAAGCGCGCGUAGGCGGCUUUGUAAGUCGGAUGUGAAAGCCCUGGGCUCAACCUGGGAACUGCAUUCGAAAC
rnacentral:rRNA from 1 species